rnacentral:lncRNA from 10 species
CAAAAAAGAAGCAAUGCUGGGCAGAAUAUCAGAACAUUCAUUAAGCCAAGAGAUGAUAGUGCAUACAGAUGCAUAAUGAAUAAGAACAUGCAACUCCAAAUCCUGACAAUAUAAAAGGACAUUGGAAGCAUUCUGAAUCCUCAAGAUGAGCACUUUGCAAAGUCAAAGAAGUGCUUUACUAUUCAUUUGUAACUUAGAUGCCAUUGAAGGAAGGAAAGACAAGGACCCGACUCAUGCUGGAAUCUGGAGUGGGUUUUUCAGGGGCAGACAGAAAACUGUUUUACUAUGAAAAAAGAUCAGCGGGGCAUCUUAUGCACAUUAUUGGAUUGUAUGCACAUAUUGCCAAGGAGACCUCAUGUUUUUGUUAAAUAUAUUAGUAAAGACUUUUGGGAAUGCUCCUCAAGCAAAGGAACUAUACUAUAGAGACUACUCCACGUCUCUAGAGUAGUGACUUCACCAAAACCUCAUGGUCCCUCUCCCAAAGUCCUAUAAGUGUCUUACUUCUCAGACCAAUAUUUUAGUCUUCCCAUAAUAUAUGUAAUAAGACAUUCUAGGGGAGGUUGAAAUAAAAAUACAAUAAAAUUUUGUCAGAAAUCAGAAUUGUCUUCAUUUGUGAGAUAUAUAAAUUAUCAGUGAAAAAGUUCUGUUAGCUGUUCUAACACAUCUUGUUUCUGACAGAAAAAUGAUGCCCUUGGUUAUCCCUACUUCCACUUGCAAAAUACAGUAUUAUUGAAAAAAAUAAAUUAUCCCUGUGACUAUUAAGAUUUUCUUAAAAUGGGAUUUGGUCUUUAGCAGAAAAUUGUAUUACAUUUCAUCCUUACUAAGCAAUUUACUUCUAUGCUUGAUAUACAUUUCAAUUGCCACUUUGGGAGGAAGCUAUAUUUUGAGAUGGUUGGAAAAAAACCUUACCAUUCUGUCAAGUG